GUUGCCGGAGUUUUCAGCCGUGCUUUCUGGAGAUGGCAGCACAAGUACAUGCAGCCUAAGCGAACUGGUAUUGCACCCUUCUUCCAAGUCAUCGUUGGUGGAAUGGCUUUCUUCUAUGCUAUUAACUAUGGCAAGCUGAAGCACCACCGUAACUACAA
rfam:Anopheles farauti strain FAR1 unplaced genomic scaffold supercont2.14, whole genome shotgun sequence.